rnacentral:rRNA from 1 species
GACGUAGGGCGCGAGCGUUGUCCGGAUUUAUUGGGCGUAAAGGGCUCGUAGGCGGUUUGUCGCGUCGGGCGUGAAAACACUGGGCUUAACUCAGUGCUUGCUUUCGAUACGGGCAGACUAGAGGUAUGCAGGGGAGAAUGGAAUUCCUGGUGUAGCGGUGAAAUGCGCAGAUAUCAGGAGGAACACCGGUGGCGAAGGCGGUUCUCUGGGCAUUACCUGACGCUGAGGAGCGAAAGUGUGGGGAGCGAACAGG